GGACGCGCGUGCAUACGUGAUGCGCCAGACAUGCCACAGGAGCGAGUGAGGCCGGCUGCGCAUGUGAAGCUCGCGUGCUCUUGCGUUUCGUCUGCAUUUCGACACAGCACCGCUGCACUACUGGACUACAGCAAGCACGUGCGAAGCCUGAGCGUCGUUGUUGGGUUCUUAUGCCAGCGUCUGCUUCGUCGCCGUUUCAUGGAAUCUCCAUCAUUUCUUCAAAAUACACCGUACAGCCAAAGGACAUCAUGCAUACUCAAGGGCGAAAUUCCAAGUAUCAGAAGACAAUUGCAAGACUUCGAAGACAGGACGUGAAGACACCCAACACAAAGUGCUUAAUUGCAGCGGUUUAAUGACGGACACAUUGGCUUACACAUUCAAGAUGAGGAUGUUGGUGCGUGCUCAAUCAUUUCUGCAGCCAUUUUAUUUCGGCUCGCAACCAUUCACAUAAUUUUGCUACAAUAAUUCACCCUCCUUCCCAGAAGUACAAGAAGAAACAUCACAUUUUUUUCCUUCUAAAACAACCCCAUUUUGAGCAAAUUAAUUGCUGGCGUGCAUGUGCAGUUUUGUUUUCGUUCUCUUGAUGGUUACAACACGCCUUCUACGUGUGUCGCUUGCGCAAAGUUAUUGCCAUCAAGAUAAUAAUUUCUGACUAUUCUCCGUUGUACCGCUGUCACGCGAUCGCCUUCGGUCGCGAUCAAGUCCGAUCCGGAUCUAAAUUGGGUCCAUCGCAAAGCUUGCACAAAAGAACCAAUCGCGAUUUCUUUCCAUUUUCAGG